rnacentral:lncRNA from 1 species
GGAUUGGGAUAUUCCGACUCCUUAAGGGCCUGGCGCACAUAAGGUGUGACCUUUUCAUUCCCGUUGUUAUGGAGGGCCACAUCUGCCAGAGCCUGGAGUCUGCGAAGGCCGGGACCCGGUUCCCCGGCCCACAGUGGGGGUGUGCAAACCCGAGAGAACUGGGUUGCAAAUUCGUGAAGAAUCAGCAUCAUGUUUGGCAGCUGAGUAUUGGAGCCAGGAGCCUGCCAUGAGGUUUUGAGAACAGAGUGCUGUUUUAGAGCUGGCAGCAGCAUCUCAGCCCAAGAGAAGGUUAUAUUCCCAGAGGAUGUCAGUCCCAAGGACCAGUAGCUGCCAUCAGUUUGGAUUCUGAAAACUAACUGGCAUCAACACUGGGUGUAGAAACAUGCUUGCCUUAUGUAUCAGAGGACAUGCUCAGCAGAUCCAAGAGAUAUAUUUGGCAACUUUUUCUAGAAAAGGCACAUUGGGUAUCAUUCAUUACAUUCUUGAGUUUUUUUGGGUUUUUUUUUUUUUUUUUGAGACAGUCUUGCUGUAUUGCCCAGGCUGGAGUGUGGUGGCACAAUCACAGCUCAUUGCAUCCUCAAUCACCCAGGCCUAAGCAAUCCUCCCACCUUGUAGCUGGGACUACAGCUCACAGCACACCUGGCUAAAAUUUUUUUUUUGUUGAGACGGAUUCUCUAUGUUGCCCAGGCUGGUCUCAGGCUCCUGGGCUCAGAUGGUCCUCCUGCCUCAGCUUCCAAAGGCACAGGCCAAGUUGUAGCUUUGUCCCUUGCCAUCAUGCCCAACAAGAGGUUCUAUACCUUUUAAUGAAUUGACUUUCAUAAAUUGGUUAUGUUGGUGGGCAAAGUUCUUUAAGCUGGAAAUUGUAAAUUCCUCCUGAAAUGUUUUUUCAUGCAGUUACCAUGAACUAAUACUACAAUAAAGGAUGGUCUUGGGUGUCAAUUCUUGAA